UUGACAUCCAGCGAACUUUCCAGAGAUGGAUUGGUGCCUUCGGGGAACGCUGAGACAGGUGCUGCAUGGCUGUCGUCAGCUCGUGUUGUGAAAUGUUGGGUUAAGUCCCGNAACGAGCGCAACCCUUAUCCUUUGUUGCCAGCGAUUCGGUCGGGAACUCAAAGGAGACUGCCGGUGAUAAACCGGAGGAAGGUGGGGAUGACGUCAAGUCAUCAUGGCCCUUACGAGUAGGGCUACACACGUGCUACAAUGGCGCAUACAAAGAGAAGCGACCUCGCGAGAGCAAGCGGACCUCAUAAAGUGCGUCGUAGUCCGGAUCGGAGUCUGCAACUCGACUCCGUGAAGUCGGAAUCGCUAGUAAUCGUGGAUCAGAAUGCCACGGUGAAUACGUUCCCGGGCCUUGUACACACCGCCCGUCACACCAUGGGAGUGGGUUGCAAAAGAAGUAGGUAGCUUAACCUUCGGGAGGGCGCUUACCACUUUGUGAUUCAUGACUGGGGUGAAGUCGUAACAAGGUAAGCGUAGCGAG
rnacentral:rRNA from 1 species